UUGUCAGACCACAACGAAUGUUGGUUCAGCCGGAGUGGCGGAAGAGAGAAAUGGAGCACCACACAAGAAAUCUAUGAUAGGCUAAAGCUACAGCAGUAGGUAUACUGGUGGGUCAGAGAUUGAGACUGACCAGAGAGUUGCUUAUGUCCCGGUGGGCUGGGAAAAACUCCCAGUAACAGACCAUCACACAGCUGCAGACGCCUGAGGCAAACCUUUCCUCCUCACCCCCGGACCUCCUCACUUCAAAACUAGGGCAAAAGUUUUUUUUUUUUACAUAGCCACAAAUCCAUCAGAUAUGACAGACUUCCAUUUUAUUUUUGUUGAUUUAAUUUUGGAGCACAUCUGCCAUCCAGUCUCUGACGCCACACCACAACCUGCUCAGCCUUUUUGUCACAGAUGUCCAGAGCUGCACUGAGUAACGGUCCAAUGACAAACCAGCAAUGGAUGAUGAACAGGUGAAGGAACGUGAUGCAACGUGCACACUGAGAGUCAUUCAGAGAACCUGCAUUGACAUUUAUCCUGAGAGGGGCACAGAAGCAAACUAUGAGAGGGGUGCAAAGAAAGAAGAGCUGGAAGAUGGUCAAAAAGAAGGCAACAUCAGUGAAUCCGCAUGUCUGCACACUCAUCAAGAAGCUCAGUGACUUCAAGUGGGACUUUGUCUGAUCUUUGACACACACACACACACACAUACACAGCUUCUUCUCCCAAGCUGCCCCCCC